UUUCUGGGAGAGGACUUUUCCAGCUAUUACGUCCUUAGCUGUGUCAGACUACUGAUUUCCAAUGAGACAAUAGGUUGAGAGUGGGAGGAAGGACUUGGGGCUCAUGAAUUUUGAAAGAGGAAGACGUGGUGCCCGACACACUCUCCUGGGAAGUCUUUCAUUUUGUUUCAGUCCCAGCCCUGGUUGGAGAGUCCAUGGGGUGAACCACGUGUCGUUUUAAGCUGCCAAAUAUAUGAUAGAUCUGCUUAUGUGAUUGCACCUGAAGACGAAAUUCAUCUACUGUGCCCCAACCAUGUUGCCGGAGUACACCCUGCUGAUACCACUGUGAGCAUAUCUGGAUUGUUUUAUUUGGACUUUCAAGGAGGAGAGAAAAAGCAUUUAGCAGCUUCUUACAAGAUCCUCGGUACAUGGCAAAAAGGUAUCCAGUGAGCUUUAAUACAAUCUGCUCUAACUCAGAAACUCGCUCAAUGCCUUUCCUGGUAUGUGUACUCCUCAAGUUCUGCGGUAAAUCUUUGUUUUGUUUUGUUUUGUUUUGUUUUGGCAGAGCCGAAGGGAAACUGUAAUGGGGGUUAUUUUCCAUACUUUUACCAUAAAUUUUUAUUUACCCAUCAGGAAAGAAAAAGAGCAGUAAAUUGAAUGUUCUACUCUUUAAGAAGGACACAUGCCAGGGAGGAAGGAAACUCACAAGGCUCUUAAUGACAUCAUUUACAAAAGAAAGUCCUUAGAAACCUCUAGUGCUGCCAGGCCG